CAGAACCUCGGUAGUUGUCGAUGAGUCGAACCCAGUUACUUCAGAUUUUAGAAUUACAUUUCUACACCUAAUCUCUGGGAGAAGUCAACGUAGUACAUACAUAUUACUAAGGUCCUUCUUGAAUAUGCAGCAAACAAAUAGUUCAGACAUGCUCGACAUUGUUGUAGACUACAUCAAAGUACUGAGGACCAAAUUGAGGUAUCCUCCACAGAGAUACAACCGUGUUACAUAGCACACACUUCCAGUAGGCCUUGCUAACAAUAUCAUUUUGCACUGCAUGUUAACAUGUUUUCUUAAUUUUGUACACAAGUAUAAACUGACUAGGUAACGUCAUAUUUAUUACUAGAAUGAAAGGGAGUAACUUAUUCAUCUUUAAAUGGAAUCAUGCAGAAACUAAAACAGGACCAAGGAAACUGCUCCUGCUCAGCCGAUCAGAAGUGCUGACGCCCCAGAACUAGAUAUGCGAGGUUAUGUUUGCACCAGUGUGAUUAGCAAGACCAAGUCUUGCUCAUGAGAUAAGUUGUAAAUGUCCUUCGCAUCGCGUUUCAAGUAGUCUACAUGCUCAUCUUCUCCUUCCUUGGUUGUACUAUGGUUUAGCUUCAAUGGCUUCAAGACUAGGAGGUGACAAGUAGAAUGUUGUAAUUUAAGUAUUAAGGCAUUACCAAUCUUUCAUUUCAAUGCAAGUUGGAUUGCUUCUGCUUAUCAUCAUUUUGCCUGGUAAAAUUAUUGUAGGGAUCCUCUGCCUUGAGUCCAUUUCUGGCUAUCAAAGUUCAUUUUUCUGGAUUGCUAGACUUAGCACGAAGUGAUAUGUCCUGGCACAAAAUAUGUACCUCCUGCCUACUCCCCCAAAACAAAUUUGGACCCAAUGAGUUCUUCCAAAUUUUCAACCAUAAAACAUUCAUGUUAACCUUAUUCGCCAAUUCACUUGUAAGUUGAUCUCUCCAGGUUGCAGGCACACAUUAUAACCAGGUUACUCUCAGUGCCUCCUUUUGUUAAUAGGUAGCUAUAUGCAAGGUACCUAUGUAAAAUUUCUUGAUCAUUUUGAUAUUUGGGCUCAAGAUUUCUAAUUUUUCUUUGUGAUCAUGGUUUCUACUUUCUAGAUAUAUUUGCACUCGUUGGCAGUACUAAAGACAGUUUGCGAAAGUCAAGUGUGUUAAAUCAUAAAGAUUAGACCAAUGGAUAUCAGAAAAAAAGAGUUCGGCCAGGUGAUGCUUCAUGCCUCAUAUGAUAAAUUGCCGAGACAACCAACAUAUAACCGUACUAUUGUUGGGCCAAUUGAUGAUAGGUGUACAUUAAUAUGUUUCAAAAAAAAGAUCCAUGAUGUGGAACAUAGUGCAAUGGUGAGAUCCACUUAUUUAUGAUGGUGAGUAAUUAGCCUGGCAUGUGGAGUUGUACUAAUAAUCUAUGAGAAGGACCUCACAUCACAACACCCGAGCAAGUCUAGCAAGGCUUGCUCACCAUGGCCUACCGCGCCGGACCGACGGGGUGAGCACGUGAUCAUCAUUAGUAGGUCCUUCGUCACAACACCCUAGCAAGCGAGAUGUUCAGACAGAGAUAUAUGAUACACCACUAUCAACAUAUGUCAUAGACAAACAAUAUAUAUCGUUCUCUUCACAAGCACAAGACUUGAUUUUGGUUGGCUGGUACCUGGCAGUCUGCACUUCCUCUCUACUUGUGACGCCCCAUCAUGUUGGUUUACAUUUGGAGCCAAAAUGCUGCUGAGCAUUUGGUGUGACUGAUUGCACUGUCCAUUUGAUGUUUUCUAGACAUAUGCUAUGCAUUGGACACAAUUAUGUUAUCUGUAAAGGCAAUUUCCUGCCUUUAUGCAUUAAAUCGAUUCAUUCUCGACAACUAUUCUCACAACAAUAUGUACUUUGUUUACAGGUUUGGACCAUGGGUUGAGCCAGGCACCAUGUGCCGAAGGCCUGUUUCCUAUCUUCUAUGUUUUUUUGUAUGUGGCAUCAGUAUUGAUUCAAUAGUUUCGAUGUUUCUGUACAAUGUUGGAAAUAGAUGGGUAGCACUGUCCCUAUAAAUUCUUCUUUUCUUUUUUGUCCAAACUUGAACAAAAAAGAAAUUACGGAAGAUGUUUUAUUGCCCCAUUGUAUUAUUAUUGGUUUCCCACAGAGUAGGUUCAUGUACGCUUCUUUGCUAAUGUAAGGCUAA